UUAAAACUUUAUUUUAGUUUUAAAAUUAGAAUUUAAGUUUAAUGUAUAUAGCCUUAUUAUUAAAUACAAUAGCAGGAUUAACAUUAAAUAUUUCAAAAUUGAAUAAAUUCAAAUAAAGAACUCUAACUAGCAAAUUAAGUGCCAGCAGUUGCGGUUAAACUUAAAGUUAACUAAUUAUUUCUACUUAAAUUAUAUUUAUGUCUUAACCAAUUAACUAAAAUAAACAUUUAAUAAGUGAAAUUUUAAAUUUUAUAGAACUAAAAGAUAUAAAAAUUAAUAAAAUUUUUAAAAAACUAGGAUUAGAUACCCUAUUAUUUGUUUACAACUCUACUCAAAGUAGUAAAAGAUAAAUCUUCAAACUUAAAAAAUUUGGCGGUAAUUUAAUCUAGCUAGAGGAAUCUGUUCUAUAAUUGAUAAUCCACAAUUAAUUUUACUUUAUAUUUAUAUAUUUAUAUAUCGCUGUAAAACAUAAAUUUAAAAAUAAUGUGUGAAAUUGUUAAUUAAACCAGAAAAUCAAGUCAACACAUAAUUAUUAUGAAGUUAGUAAUGGAUUACAUUUAUCUGAAAUUAGUGGAUUUUAUUAAAUAUAUAAAAUAAAAGUGGAUUUAGGAGUAAAUUAAAUAGAAAUAUUUAAUUAAAUAAGAGAUAAGUUAUGUACAAAUCGCCCGUCAUUCUUAAAUAAAUUAAGACAAGUCGUAACAAAGUAAAAUCACCGGAAGGUGAUUUUAGAAU
rnacentral:ncRNA from 1 species